UUUUUGCUAGGGUUUCUUCUUCUUCUUCUUUUUCCUCCUCCCAUGGCCGACCCUAACACCAUUGUUGCCUAUCUUCCACUCCGAUUUGCCUCCUUGCUCGCCGUCGACCAUCGAUCCCCGCCCCGUGGCCACCGCUUCAUCACCGUCGGUGAAGAAAAUCUCGAGGUUAUUGAACCCGGGAUCGAGGAUUAGAGCGAAUCUUUCGGAGUUCAUCGUUUAGACCAAGGAUGGCACCUGGUCGUGGACGAGGACGUCCAGUCCCAGAGGAGGGGAGAUGUGGAAAUCCUCCCCAGCCUGAUCAUAUGCAGGAAAUGAGGAAUUUACU